rnacentral:rRNA from 1 species
GCGAACGGGGAGGAGCCCAGAGCCUGAAUCAGUGUGUGUGUUAGUGGAAGCGUCUGGAAAGGCGCGCGAUACAGGGUGACAGCCCCGUACACAAAAAUGCACAUGCUGUGAGCUCGAUGAGUAGGGCGGGACACGUGGUAUCCUGUCUGAAUAUGGGGGGACCAUCCUCCAAGGCUAAAUACUCCUGACUGACCGAUAGUGAACCAGUACCGUGAGGGAAAGGCGAAAAGAACCCCGGCGAGGGGAGUGAAAAAGAACCUGAAACCGUGUACGUACAAGCAGUGGGAGCACGCUUAGGCGUGUGACUGCGUACCUUUUGUAUAAUGGGUCAGCGACUUAUAUUCUGUAGCAAGGUUAACCGAAUAGGGGAGCCGAAGGGAAACCGAGUCUUAACUGGGCGUUAAGUUGCAGGGUAUAGACCCGAAACCCGGUGAUCUAGCCAUGGGCAGGUUGAAGGUUGGGUAACACUAACUGGAGGACCGAACCGACUAAUGUUGAAAAAUUAGCGGAUGACUUGUGGCUGGGGGUGAAAGGCCAAUCAAACCGGGAGAUAGCUGGUUCUCCCCGAAAGCUAUUUAGGUAGCGCCUCGUGAAUUCAUCUCCGGGGGUAGAGCACUGUUUCGGCAAGGGGGUCAUCCCGACUUACCAACCCGAUGCAAACUGCGAAUACCGGAGAAUGUUAUCACGGGAGACACACGGCGGGUGCUAACGUCCGUCGUGAAGAGGGAAACAACCCAGACCGCCAGCUAAGGUCCCAAAGUCAUGGUUAAGUGGGAAACGAUGUGGGAAGGCCCAGACAGCCAGGAUGUUGGCUUAGAAGCAGCCAUCAUUUAAAGAAAGCGUAAUAGCUCACUGGUCGAGUCGGCCUGCGCGGAAGAUGUAACGGGGCUAAACCAUG